rnacentral:lncRNA from 1 species
GCUUCUAAGGUGUUAAACAUUUCCCGGAUGAUUUUGAACAGGUAAGGUACAAUAUUUGACGUAGACAGGAAAAACUCAAAAUUUCAGAAUUGAAAAUUAUGCUCUAUCUAAUCAAACCCGUAUGAAUUUUCUGAUAACAUGUGUGGUGAGGUGGUUGGGUCAAACAACAUUAGACCUCUUUACUCUGCCGACUUCUUUUUAACUUUCUUCGACAACUUCAUCGGGAUUUCCACCUGAUUCUUUUCACAAAGAGAAAAUAUGUUAGUACAAAGAUAAUCGAAUUCCAUCGAACACUAGGCAAGAACUCAAACAAUUAAAUCAAACAAACCGAAAUCUCGAUUUAAUAAUUUUUUCUCGAUUUUUUAAAACUGAAAUUUAAAAGCGUGAACAAAAGAAUACAUAGUUCUUAAAUAGAACGAAGGUGUGAUGCCAAACUGAUAUGAUCUAAAGUGCACAAUGAAGACGAACAGGACUAUAUAUAAAAUUCGGUUUCAAAUUGACGAACAAAAUCCAACAACUAGAUGGAAAGUUACAUAGUCGACCAAUCAACUCGAGUUACCCGGAGGCCCAACACAUAAUGUGAAUGGUGCCAUGAAGAGGGGAUUGUAACCGACUACGAUAUACUAGGAUCGUCUAUCCUAGCAACAACCUACUUUGGACAAGAUAGAAUAAAAAAUAGCAUAAGCCAAAAAUUACUUUGAUUAUUCUUGGGUGGUUUCUAACUAUGAUGGAUGCACCCUCUUUACAUAGGAGAGGGAGG